rnacentral:rRNA from 1 species
UCUGCCCUUUGUACACACCGCCCGUCGCUACUACCGAUUGAAUGGCUUAGUGAGGUCUUGGGAUUGGCUUCGAGGAGCCGGCAACGGCACCUCGUCGCUGAGAACUUGAUCAAACUUGGUCAUUUAGAGGAAGUAAAAGUCGUAACAAGGUUUCCGUAGGUGAACCUGCGGAAGGAUCAUUAUCGAGUUUUGAAAAGGGUUGUAGCUGGCCUUCGGCAACAAGUCGGAGGCAUGUGCACGCCUGGCUCAUCCACUCUCAAACCCCUGUGCACCUUUUGUAGGCUUCGGCAGAGAGGACUGACUUCGGUCGGUUCAGGAAGCCUUGUGCCUAUGUCACACAUACAAACGCUUCAGUUUAGAAUGUAACGAAUCGUGCGCCUCGGUGCAACGAAAUAAAUACAACUUUCAGCAACGGAUCUCUUGGCUCUCGCAUCGAUGAAGAACGCAGCGAAAUGCGAUAAGUAAUGUGAAUUGCAGAAUUCAGUGAAUCAUCGAAUCUUUGAACGCACCUUGCGCUCCUUGGUAUUCCGAGGAGCAUGCCUGUUUGAGUGUCAUGAAAUUCUCAACCUUUGAAGCUUUUUUUUGAGCUCGCAAAGGCUUGGACUUGGAGGUCGUGUCGGCUCGUAACAAAGUCGACUCCUCUGAAAUGCAUUAGUGUGAAACCUUCGCAGGAUCGCCUUCGGUGUGAUAAUUGUCUACGCCGUCGGUCGUGAAAGUCGAAACAUACGUGUUCACGCUUCUAAUCGUCCGUCGAGGACAAACUUUUUUCUUGACCAUCUGACCUCAAAUCAGGUAGGACUACCCGCUGAACUUAAGCAUAUCAAUAAGCGGAGGAAAAGAAACUAACAAGGAUUCCCCUAGUAACUGCGAGUGAAGCGGGAAAAGCUCAAAUUUAAAAUCUGGUGGCCUUCGGUCAUCCGAGUUGUAGUCUGGAGAAGCGUCUUCCGCGCUGGACCGUGUACAAGUCUCUUGGACAGAGCGUCGUAGAGGGUGAGAAUCCCGUCUUUGACACGGACUGCCAGUGCUUUGUGAUGCGCUCUCAAGAGUCGAGUUGUUUGGGGAAUGC